CACAGCAAAAUAUAUCGUCAUCCCUCUUGACGGCACUUUUUCGUCCCAUAAUUGUUAAGAAUGAUUGACGUUGAUUGCUGCUGGCAACAAUUGGUACCGUGUCAUUGGUUGGUUCGACCUUAGACGAGAUACUACAAUGUCUGCCAUCGCUUGUAUGAAUAGUGGAUGAUCGUUCGGUGCUGCUGCUCGUCUGAUGUUUUCAAUACCGAGCUGAAAAUAUUAAAAAUUGUAAAAACGUAUACAUGAAGCAUAAAAAAUAUUCACUCAA